ensembl:snRNA U6 U6 spliceosomal RNA
GUCCUCACUUCGGCAGCACAUAUGCUAAAAUUGGAAUGACACAGAGAAGAUUAGCAUGGCCCCUGCACAAAGAUGACAUGCAAAUUCGUGAAGUGUUCCAUAUUUUU